rnacentral:lncRNA from 1 species
CAAGCAUCUUUUAAUUUCAUGGCUUCAGUCACCAUCUGCAGUGAUUUGGGGGCCCCCAAAAAUACAUGGGCAACCAAUAUUUGGAAGUAUUAUUAUUGUUAAGCACUAGUAAUGCAUUGUAGACUUCUAAAUUUCUAUCACCAGUCCAGACUACUUUCUGCCUCCCAACACAUCUAACUUCCUAUGAUACAUCUCCCCUUGUAUUUUCAAGAGCCAUCUCAAACACAGCAUAUACAACAUACUCCAACAUUCUCACAGUCUCCCUCCUUUGUCCCAUCUCCAUAUUUUCUACUUCCACUAAAUUCCAUAGUUGUUCAAGUCAGAAAUCUGGAAAUCAUUCUAGAUAUCUUCUUUUCCUUUCAUCCAGAGAAUCCCAAAGUCCUGAUGAUUCCACCUUUUAUUUGCUCUUGAGUUCAUCUACGCUUCCAUGCAUGUUGAGCCCAUCUACAUCCCCAUGCAAUGCUUUCUCUCAUAGCUAUUACAAGAAGCCACCUCUAUACCUGGUGUCUGAAUCUCUAGCUUUAAUCCCCUCCAUUCAUCUUCUAGACUGCUUCCUAAGUGUGGCUAUUGAAACGCAAAUCUGAGAUUAUUGCUCCCUUCCUUCAAGCUCCUGUCCCAGUUCCUUACCCUGGACCAUCGAUCUUCAGGCUUAUCUUUUUACCUCAUGGUUUUUCCAGGUCAGACAUCACAUACCUCCCCAAUGCUAUGUUCUCUAAGCCUCCAAAUCUUUACACAAACUUUCUCCUUUUGCUAUCUCCUCCUUAAAAUUCAACUCAUGUGCUGCUUCUCAAGUAAAUCUUUCUUUCCACACCAGUCACAAACCAGUGUCUCUUCCCACUCCAGACUGACCAAGUCCUUUUUCCUAGUACUCAUCUAAUUUCUAUACCAAUAAGAUGAUAGCCCCUCUCAUUCUAUUACUCUUUUUUUUUUUUUCAGUCUCCAAAGUGAUGAGUACCUUAAAGGCAGAGACUUUUUUAAAAAUUAGUACCCAGGAUGUUNNNNAACUCAUAACCUGUGCUUUGUAUAUGAUUAUCACAUUAAAAAUGGAUGCUUUUUAAAUUUCUUCUCUGAAUUAAAUCUCUUUUCAUCUAGUGGAAAACAUACAGAAUUUGGAGUUUGAAGACCUAUAAUCAAGUUCCAAAUGUGCUACCUACUAGUUGAAGACCUUGAACAAAUUAGUUAACCGCUUAAAAUUUAUUACAUCAUGGUGAGGAUCAGUUAUGACCAUGAACGUAAACUUUGUGAAUAGUAAAGUAUUUUAAAAAUAUAACAAAUGAUAAGUAAGAGGCAGAGAUGAAACAUAAUGUAGCUCAUGAUGAAAUUUGACAUUGAGAUCAAACUUUAAUAAUUGGAGCUUCACAUUCUGAAGGUGUCUUUCUUGGGAAACGUGUAGCACAAGUACAUAGACACCUAUGAACAAACCUCGUUUCUACCAUUGAUUUUUAUUGGUUGUGUGCAUUUUGUAAGUUACUUGGAUGUGCUGAGUCUUAAUAUUCUCAUCUGUAAAAUGGCAAUAGAAUUUCCUCAUAGAAUUGCUGUGAAGAUUUAGGUGCAUUAAGACCUAUAUAGUAGUAGUAGUGUUAGUCACUCAGUCGUGUCUAACUCUUUGCAACCCCAUCUGUCCACAGUAUUCUCCAGGCAAGAAUAUUGGAGUGGGUUGCCAUUCCUUUCUCCAAGAGGUAUUCCUGACCCAGGGAUUGAACCUGGAUCUCCUGCAUUUCAGGCAAAUUCUUUACUGUCUGAGCCACCAGGGAUGCCCUUAUUAAGACCUAUAAGAUACUGUAAAAAGAACAUUAUAAGUCCAGAAAAAAAUGUAUCUUUCUAUUAUAAAAAGUCCUUCUUUCUCCUAUGAACACAAGAA